rnacentral:hammerhead_ribozyme from 1 species
GUACUGCUGAAUGAGUCCCAAACUAGAACGAAACAGCUGUCCAGUAC